rnacentral:rRNA from 1 species
CCGAGAAGUGUAACUUGUACGCGAGUCAAAGGGUGGAAAACCCCAUGGCGAAAUGAAAGUAAAGGUCGGUUAACCGGCUGACAUGGGAUCCGCCUUUCGAGGCGGCGCACCAUGGCCCUGUCUUGUCUGCUCGCAGAUGGGCAGCGGUAGAGCGUACAGGUUGCGACCCGAAAGACGGUGAACUAUGCCUGAGCAGGACGAAGUCAGAGGAAACUCUGAUGGAAGUCCGUAUCGGUUCUGACGUGCAAAUCGAUCGAUAGACUUGGGUA